GAUGAACGCUGGCGGCGUGCCUAAUACAUGCAAGUCGAGCGAACAGACGAGGAGCUUGCUCCUCUGACGUUAGCGGCGGACGGGUGAGUAACACGUGGAUAACCUACCUAUAAGACUGGGAUCACUUCGGGAAACCGGAGCUAAUACCGGAUAAUAUAUUGAACCGCAUGGUUCAAUAGUGAAAGACGGUUUUGCUGUCACUUAUAGAUGGAUCCGCGCCGCAUUAGCUAGUUGGUAAGGUAACGGCUUACCAAGGCAACGAUGCGUAGCCGACCUGAGAGGGUGAUCGGCCACACGGGAACUGAAACACGGUCCAGAGUCCUACGGGAGGCAGCAGUAGGGAAUCGUCCGCAAUGGGCGAAAACUUGACGGAGCAACGCCGCGUGAGUGAUGAAGGUCUUCGGAUCGUAAAACUCUGUUAUUAGGGAAGAACAAAUGUGGAAGUAACUAUGCACGUCUUGACGGUACCUAAUCAGAAAGCCACGGCUAACUACGUG
rnacentral:rRNA from 1 species